rnacentral:rRNA from 1 species
AACGUAGGAGGCAAGCGUUAUUCGGAUUUACUGGGCGUAAAGCGCACGCAGGCGGUUCGAUAAGUUAGAUGUGAAAGCUCCUGGCUUAACUGGGAGAGGUCGUUCAAUACUAUCGGACUUGAGGAUGAGAGAGGGAGUGGAAUUCCGGGUGUAGUGGUGGAAUGCGUAGAUAUUCGGAGGAACACCAGUGGCGAAAGCGGCCUCCUGGCUCAUAACUGACGCUCAUGUGCGAAAGCUAGGGUAGCAAACGGGAUUAGAAA